GACGAACGCUGGCGGCGUGCUCAACACAUGCAAGUCGAACGGAAAGGCCCUGCUUUUGUGGGGUGCUCGAGUGGCGAACGGGUGAGUAACACGUGAGUAACCUGCCCUUGACUUUGGGAUAACUUCAGGAAACUGGGGCUAAUACCGGAUAGGAGCUCCUGCUGCAUGGUGGGGUUGGAAAGUUUCGGCGGUUGGGGAUGGACUCGCGGCUUAUCAGCUUGUUGUGGGUAGUGGCUUACCAAGGCUUUGACGGGUAGCCGGGCCUGAGAGGGUGACCGGCCACAUUGGGACUGAGAUACGGCCCAGACUCCUACGGGAGGCAGCAGUGGGGAAUAUUGCACAAUGGGCGGAAGCCUGAUGCAGCAACGCCGCGUGCGGGAU
rnacentral:rRNA from 1 species